rnacentral:lncRNA from 1 species
AUUGUUCAUUUUAAAUGGAGGGAAAGAAAGGAUGAAAAAUGACCAUACAAGUUAGGAAAUUACCAAAUUACACUUUUGAGGUGUCAAUUAUGUAAGUACUUACAUGUUUUACACUAGUAACAAUGUCCCUUUUUCUGCCUGCUUGGGUAGGAUGUAGUAGUUCCUAGUGUGCUUAUGUGUAUGCUAAGCUUUGUGCUUGGAAGACACAAAAAAUAUCUGGUGAUAACUAAUAUGUGAUAAUUCUGAUUAAUUAAUGGAUUUUUAAAACCUAUUUUGGAUAACCGAUACCAGGUGUUGAGAGAGUUCCUCUGACCUGAUCUUGAUAGGGCUUUUAUUUCUUAAAGUGUUACUGGUAUGGAAAUGUGGAGAGGAGAGUAAAGGGCUAGUCAAUAUUCAGGAUUUUGAUACUCAAAUUGAAUGGGGGAAAAUGGGCAGUAUUGAUUAUAUUAUCUCAAUUGCAGUUGUAGCUGAUUAUUUCUCUUAAAGAUUUUAGGAAUUAAAGAGUUGUCUUAAUUUGAAGAAAUGGCACUGGUGUUUAUCUACCUAUCAUGAAGAUUUCUGUAUGAGGUGGUCCACCUGAAUGUGGCUUUUGACAUUUGACUGCAUAGAGUUUUGUAACCUUGGGCCUAAAAUUUAUUAGCUGAUGAAUAAUGUCAAAAUGUUUUGGGAACUUGAAUUCCUUGUUUCACAUGUUGGGUGUAAUGUAAUUUCCAUAGGGAAAUGUUGCUUUGUUUGGCAACCACACUGUCAAACUGCUCAGACUACCAAAGGUGGUUGUGGAAAUUGAUGACUAAAUACAUCAAAGAAGAUGGUAGUUCUUGCCACCCACGCAUGUACCGUACCUCCUCUUCCAUUUUUUAGGCUUUGGUGAUUGGUGAAUUGAACUAAACACAGGUACCUUUCUGUUUAGAGAGAGAUGGUUUGUCUUUUCCCUGGAAAUCUUGAAUUUCCAGUGAAGCUUCCACACUUUGUUCCAGUAAAGGAAGAAGUUUUCCAAAAACUACAGAUAAUUUUGUUUCAGCAUGAUUUUAUGUACAUAGUUACCAAGAUUUCAUUUAAGUGCUAGAGUCUAAAGAGCUGAAGAGUGAAUGAGAAGAAUGGACCUGUUUAUUGGUCACUAGGAAGGAAAUAAGCAUAACUAGCAGGUAUAUUUUAUUCAUAAUGGUAUCCCUUGAAGAUUGAGUGGUAUUUAGUUACUGUAUUAAGAAAAUCCAGUAAAUUGAAGUUUUUAACAAUUAGACUGACAUGUCACCCUCUUCCCCCCUGCUCCCAACACAUCUUGGGUAGAACUCUGGAAGUCGUGUUGACUGAAGUAGAGAAGGGCUUUGGAUGCUGUGUAAUGCCAAGUGAAAUAAUCUGAGAAGACAUUCUCUUCAGGAGAAAAUGGGCAAGAUUUAUUAAGAGAAAAUUGCCAAUAUAUUAUUGAUUGAAGAACUGAAGUAACAAGCACCUCCCAGUUACAGGAGGCUGUGGAUGUUCCCCUUUUUUUCAGGAUCAUCAGUCUUGCUACUUAAGAGUUAUUAGACUUUAAAAAUAACUGCAGGUUUUUAGAGGAAAAUUGAAUUGAUUUGAAGAUUGCAUCUGUAGCUGGAGAAAUGACUUAAUUAUCCUUGCAAGUUAUUUUGAUCUAUUGCAAGCAGGUCAAAGUAGGUGUUUUCUAAAAACUUUGCAGCUGCUUUGAAAUCUACCCUGCCAUAGACCAUGGGGGAAUAAACUAAAGGGAGUAUAUAGGAAUGCAAAGGAACCUAAUCAUAAUGAAGUUACAGUACAAGUGUUAGGAGAAAAACUUUAGGAAAAGUAUUUUCUGCAGGGUUGUGGAAAGAUGGCAAAUGAUCUUUUACUCUCUGUGAUGGAAUAAAGUAGGAUUUCUGUUUCUAAAUGAGAUCUUGCGACACCCUAUUUUCACUUCUAGAAUUUUUGUUUGGGAAGGGUUGGGAAUGGGGGUUCCUAAGGUUUCUUGGUUUAGCUGGCACAAGAAAUGUGCCCUAAGCAUAGGCCAUAUUGUCUGCUAUGAUUGUCAUUUUAGCAGGUGAAUUGAGAUUUUCUUUUCUAAAGAACAAGUGUCUUAUGUUACUGAUUUUCAUCUGAUUUUGAAAGGAUGUUUUUGCAGGUUUUUUUUUUUUUUUUUUUAAGAUUUUAUUUAUUUAUUCAUGAGAGGCAGAGACAGAGGGAGAAGCAGGCUUGCUGCAGGGAUCCCAGUGUGGGACUCUGAUCCCGGGACCCCAGGAUCAUGACCUGAGCCAAAGGCAGACUCUCAACCACUGAGCCACCCAGGUAUCCCUGCAGUUUUUUGAACUAGUAAAAGUAUCCUGCUAUGUGAUAUUCAGGCCUUUUCAAAGACAGUUCAGGGCCUUUGAGAACAGUUUUUUUCUCUGAGAAACUCUUAUUAGUUACUACAGUAUUUCUCUUGGGUCCUAUUGACCUAUAGGUAGUCAAAUAUCGGACACUGACAAGGAAGGGUAUUUUGAAUCUCCCAUAACAUUCUUUUGCCUAGGGCAAGUCCAGGGUGUCUUAAUAACUUUGGAAACUAAAAAGAGGCAUGAAUUGACAUAAAGGGAAC